GACGAACGCUGGCGGCGUGCUUAACACAUGCAAGUCGAACGGUAAGGCUCCAGCUUGCUGGGGUACACGAGUGGCGAACGGGUGAGUAACACGUGGGUGACCUGCCCUGCACUUCGGGAUAAGCCUGGGAAACUGGGUCUAAUACCGGAUAGNGACCGCACCGUGAGGGUGUGGUGGAAAGUUUUUUCGGUGUGGGAUGGGCCCGCGGCCUAUCAGCUUGUUGGUGGGGUAAUGGCCUACCAAGGCGGCGACGGGUGGCCGGCCUGAGAGGGUGGACGGCCACAUUGGGACUGAGACACGGCCCAGACUCCUACGGGAGGCAGCAGUGGGGAAUAUUGCACAAUGGGCGGAAGCCUGAUGCAGCGACGCCGCGUGGGGGAUGACGGCCUUCGGGUUGUAAACUCCUUUCACCAUCGACGAAGGGUUUCUGACGGUAGAUGGAGAAGAAGCACCGGCUAACUACGUGCCAGCAGCCGCGGUAAUACGUAGGGUGCGAGCGUUGUCCGGAAUUACUGGGCGUAAAGAGCUCGUAGGUGGUUUGUCGCGUCGUCUGUGAAAUUCCGGGGCUUAACUCCGGGCGUGCAGGCGAUACGGGCAUAACUUGAGUACUGUAGGGGAGACUGGAAUUCCUGGUGUAGCGGUGAAAUGCGCAGAUAUCAGGAGGAACACCGGUGGCGAAGGCGGGUCUCUGGGCAGUAACUGACGCUGAGGAGCGAAAGCAUGGGGAGCGAACAGGAUUAGAUACCCUGGUAGUCCAUGCCGUAAACGGUGGGCGCUAGGUGUGGGUUUCCUUCCACGGGAUCCGUGCCGUAGCUAACGCAUUAAGCGCCCCGCCUGGGGAGUACGGCCGCAAGGCUAAAACUCAAAGGAAUUGACGGGGGCCCGCACAAGCGGCGGAGCAUGUGGAUUAAUUCGAUGCAACGCGAAGAACCUUACCUGGGCUUGACAUAUACAGGAUCGCGCCAGAGAUGGUGUUUCCCUUGUGGCUUGUAUACAGGUGGUGCAUGGUUGUCGUCAGCUCGUGUCGUGAGAUGUUGGGUUAAGUCCCGCAACGAGCGCAACCCUUGUCUUAUGUUGCCAGCACGUUGUGGUGGGGACUCGUAAGAAACUGCCGGGGUUAACUCGGAGGAAGGUGGGGAUGACGUCAAAUCAUCAUGCCCCUUAUGUCCAGGGCUUCACACAUGCUACAAUGGUCGGUACAGUGGGUUGCCAGUCCGUGAGGGCGAGCUAAUCCCGCAAAGCCGGUCUCAGUUCGGAUCGGGGUCUGCAACUCGACCCCGUGAAGUCGGAGUCGCUAGUAAUCGCAGAUCAGCAACGCUGCGGUGAAUACGAUCCCGGGCCU
rnacentral:rRNA from 1 species